rnacentral:rRNA from 1 species
UACGUAGGGGGCAAGCGUUUGUCCGGAAUCAUUGGGCGUAAAGCGCGUGUAGGCGGCUCGGUAAGUCUGCUGUGAAAGUCCAGGGCUCAACCCUGGAAUGCCGGUGGAAACUGUCGAGCUAGAGUCCGGAAGAGGCGAGUGGAAUUCCUGGUGUAGCGGUGAAAUGCGCAGAUAUCAGGAGGAACACCAAUGGCGAAGGCAGCUCGCUGGGACGGUACUGACGCUGGAGACGCGAAAGCGUGGGGAGCAAACAGG